ACAACAUUAUAUACAUUAUUGAAAUAAUGUAGUGGUUCCUUGAUCAUCCAAGUUUCCUCUCAAAUCCUUUCUACAUGGGCGGUAAUUCGUAUGGUGGGAAGAUAACUGUGCUAACUGCACAUAAAGUUGUUGAAGGAAAUGAAGGUGGUGAGAAGCCUCUAAUCAAUAUCAAGGGUUAUCUAGUUGGUAAUGUUGUAACAGGUGAUAAAGUUGAUACAAGCUUUCAAGCUCCACAUGCUUAUGGAUUGGGGAUUAUUUCUAAAGAGCUCUAUAAGGUGCUUCCUUAUUCUAUUUAAGGCUCGUUUAAUUGAUUGAAAUUAUUAAACAUAUUUUAAAAGUUGUUAAGUUUUGCUAAAUAUAUCAUUUUGUUAGACAUAAUUAGAAAUCAUUUCAGACUUUGAAAACCUCCUCAAAAUUUCCUUAAACAUAAUAAUUUUAUUUUUACAUG